GGCCCUUUGGUCAAGCGGUUAAGACACCGCCCUUUCACGGCGGUAACACGGGUUCGAAUCCCGUAAGGGUCACCA
rnacentral:tRNA from 1 species